AUGGUCUGCUUCAUCGGUUUCACCACUGCGUGCAUGGAAACCUCCGUGGCCGUCUACACGCUGCCCACCGGCAUCUUCGACGACCACAAGCUCGCCUACUACGUCUCCGUCGCCUCCGCCGGCUUUGUUGGCUUCGCGGAGGUGUUCGCCGCGGUUACAUGGAUGUCGGGCUCGGCCGGCGUCGGCAACGACCACCCACACGGCCAAGCACGCCGAUGCGUUUUGUGUGCCUCACUUCUGCCACUGGCGUUCCUGGCAGGGCUUGGUGGAGUGCGCAUACUUGUCAAGUACUCGCAAGAGCUGCUGGGCCGAGCGGUAGCUAUUUCUCUGUUUGUGUGUGUGUUGGCUGAGAUUGUUAGUACUAGAGGAUACCCCGCGCGUUACAGCGGGAAAUUCGGCAAUGAUUUAAAGAGUUAG
rnacentral:rRNA from 1 species